rnacentral:lncRNA from 1 species
AUGGAAAUGAACCUCCACUUCCAGAGCCCUCCUGGAAAACCAGGAAUAGCAGCCGAACCCCUGCUGUUUGAGCACACGGCCUCCCGAGUCCAUCACGCAAGCUGGACUUCGCUCAUCCCUGCGGACAGCAUAUCUGGAAAGUGUAUGGACACUGUAACCACAACUGGGUUGACCUUUGAGCUCUAGGAGCAUAAAAACUCCCAGCAUCUUGUUUUUCAUGGUUAGAGUCCACACUGCCAGCUCCCCCGUCACAUGGGCUGGCUCAGGGCCAGUCUGCUCUCCCGGAACUAGGAAGGACAGAGACUAAUGACCCCAAAUUGAUAUGUAACUUGCCCUAAUAUUGACCCUGGCCCUGUGGUUAGUGAUUCCCAUCGGAGGGUAAAUCAUUGCACUAUUUUGGCUUGGACCCCGUUUGACUCUUCCCCCAUCCCCACCACCGUUUUGAACAACAAAAAAGAGUAAUCUCCGUUAAUUGUAUGAUACAAUCAAGACUCCUGCUAUUGCCCUGUGGUGGACACAGCAGCUGACUUCACAGUAUUUCUUCUGAAUCAACUACGAGAUUGUGACUGUCCUUCGUUAACUAUGGUAAAAGUUGACGUCCUCCACUGGAGGUGUAUCUAUGUUAACAUCCAAGUAAAUAAUAAUAAUAGCUAUUGUUAAUAUUAAUUGAAGGCUCAAGAAGUGCCUGGUGUGCUAAGCAUGUGAGACUAAACGCAAUCAUUCAUUCCUCAGUUACUAAAUUCCAAACCUCUGCUAAGCUCCAUAGUGGUCACAACCUUAUGAGGCUAUAGCAACAUGGCUCCCACUCUCUGUGGGGAUUCAAGCCAUGAUGAGGUCUAGCAACAUUAAGGCUGUGAGGGAGGGCACAUUAUUAGUAAUAGGAAUAACAUUAUAGGUCUCAGCUCUUCACUGAGUGCUUACUCCACAGUAGCUGUUUAGGACAUAUUAUAUUUUUUAACCAUCAUGACCAUUAUUACCUCUCAGUGGAUGUGCUCUUUGUAAUCCUAUUUUUAAUUUUUAUUUUAUUUUACUUUUUUUGUUGGGAAAGAUUUUCCCUGAGCUAACAACUGUUGCCAAUCUUUCUUUUUUUUCUUUUGCCUCCCCAAAGCCCCAGUCCAUAAUUGUAUAUUCUGGUUGUAGGUCAUUCUAGUUCUUCUAUGUGGGAUGCCGCCACAGCAGGGCUACU